ACGGGGGCCCGCACAAGCGGCGGAGCAUGCGGAUUAAUUCGAUGCAACGCGAAGAACCUUACCAAGGCUUGACAUACACCGGUAACGCCCAGAGAUGGGUGCCCCUUUGUGGUCGGUGGACAGGUGGUGCAUGGGUUGUCGUCAGCUCGUGUCGUGAGAUGUUGGGUUAAGUCCCGCAACGAGCGCAACCCUCGUCCUAUGUUGCCAGCGGGUCAUGCCGGGGACUCAUGGGAGACUGCCGGGGUCAACUCGGAGGAAGGUGGGGAUGACGUCAAAUCAUCAUGCCCCUUAUGUUCUGGGCUACACACGUGCUACAAUGGCCGGUACAGACGGACGCAAAGCCGCGAGGUGGAGCAAAUCCUAAAAAGCCGGUCUCAGUUCGGAUUGCAGGCUGCAAUUCGCCUGCAUGAAGUCGGAAUCGCUAGUAAUCGCAGGUCAGCAUACUGCGGUGAAUACGUUCCCGGGCCUU
rnacentral:rRNA from 1 species